UGGGGAAUCUUAGACAAUGGGGGAAACCCUGAUCUAGCCAUGCCGCGUGAAUGAUGAAGGCCUUAGGGUUGUAAAAUUCUUUCGCCAAGGAUGAUAAUGACAGUACUUGGUAAAGAAGCCCCGGCUAACUUCGUGCCAGCAGCCGCGGUAAUACGAAGGGGGCUAGCGUUGUUCGGAAUUACUGGGCGUGAAGCGCACGUAGGCGGACUUUUAAGUCAGAUGUGAAAUCCCGAGGCUCAACCUCGGAACUGCAUUUGAAACUGGGAGUCUAGAGAUCAGGAGAGGUUAGCGGAAUACCGAGUGUAGAGGUGAAAUUCGUAGAUAUUCGGUGGAACACCAGUGGCGAAGGCGACUAACUGGACUGAUACUGACGCUGAGGUGCGAAAGUGUGGGGAGCAAACAGGAUUAGAUACCCGGGUAGUCC
rnacentral:rRNA from 1 species